CCUCGCAGUGUGUAUCUGUGUAUUCGAGCUUCUAAGUUGAGCAAUACGUAAUAACGUGAAUCUUUGAUAAUUGACUUAAUUCCAUCUCUUCAGGCUUUGUGGGCGAGUUUAAUGAGAAAUCCAUGCAGGCGUUGUUGAGCUCCAUCCCAUCAGAUGUCCCGUCUCAAGAGCUCUGUAUCUGGUUAAAGGGUGUGGUGGCGUCCUUGAUGUGGAGAGUGUUGCCUAAAGUACAGAGAGUCCUGGCUAAAUGGUUUGUGCUGCGAGCAAGAGUCCUGGAGUUAAGAAAAGAACGGCUGACCUCAGAACGGACUGAUGCUAGCUGAACUCGGUCUGCCGUCCUUCUGGAUGUCCACAAAUCUGGACUUGCUGGAUUGCUGCAGUUCUCAGAUAACACACAUCUCUGUUCACUCAGUGGGAGGCCAAAGCAGUGGCUCUGGUUCACUGUAUGACUGACACCAAUCUCACCACAAUGCGAAGCAGGAUGGCGGAGCGACGUCCACAGCCGAGCAGGAAGGCGGAGCGACGUCCUCAGCCGAGCAGGAAG
ensembl:lncRNA